rnacentral:rRNA from 1 species
CCUACGGGGUGCUGCAGUCGAGAAUCUUUCGCAAUGGGGAAACCCUGACGACGCGACGCCGCGUGGAGGAUGAAGGCCUUCGGGUUGUAAACUCCUGUCAGCAGGGGAGAACAAGCUGUCGAUGAAUAAUCGAUAGCUUUGACAGUACCUGCAGAGGAAGCCACGGCUAACUCUGUGCCAGCAGCCGCGGUAAUACAGAGGUGGCAAGCGUUGUUCGGAUUUAUUGGGCGUAAAGGGUCCGUAGGCGGCCUGGAAAGUUGGAUGUGAAAUCCCACAGCUUAACUGUGGAACUGCAUUCAAAACUUCUAGGCUCGAGUGUGAUAGGGGUAAAGGGAAUUCCCGGUGUAAGGGUGAAAUCUGCAGAGAUCGGGAGGAACACCAGUCGCGAAGGCGCUUUACUGGAUCACUACUGACGCUGAGGGACGAAAGCCAGGGGAGCAAACG